UACGUAGGGUGCAGGCGUUAAUCGGAAUUACUGGGCGUAAAGCGUGCGCAGGCGGUCUUUUAAGUCAGAUGUGAAAUCCCCGGGCUUAACCUGGGAACUGCGUUUGAAACUGCAUGGCUAGGAUGCGGAAGAGGGAAGCGGAAUUUGUAGUGUAGCAGUGAAAUGCGUAGAUAUUACAAGGAACACCAAUGGCGAAGGCAAUCCCCUGGGCCUGUACUGACGCUCAUGCACGAAAGCGUGGGGAGCAAACAGG
rnacentral:rRNA from 1 species